CUCGAGCUGAGCUUUCGCUCACCAUCCACCACUGCUGUUUGCCACUGUCGCAGACCCACCGCCGACUCCCAUCCCUCUGGAUCCGGCAGGGUGUCCGCUGAGCUCCUGAUACGGCGAGACUCCCAUUGCCACUCCCGAUCAUGCUAAAGGCUUGCCAUUGUUCCUGCAACGUUAAGUGCCUGGGUUCGUCCUAAUCGAGCUGAACACUAGUCACUGGGUUCCAUGGUUCUCUUCCGUGACCCACGGCUUCUAAUAGAGCUAUAACACUCACUGCAUGGCCCAAGAUUCCAUUCCUUGGAAUCCGUGAGGCCAAGAACCCCAGGUCAGAGAAGACGAGGCUUGCCACCAUCUUGGAAGCGGCCCGCCACCAUCUUGGAAGUGGCUCGCCACCAUCUUGGGAGCUCUGUGAGCAAGGACCUCCGGUAACAUUUUGGCGACCACGAAGGGACAUCCAAAGCUCUCACUAUCCUUGACAGAGAAGAAAGGACUUAGAACCGGAAUUCAACUUUGUGACCAUAAUCUUUGAGCACAGAGUAUUCAUUAUCCUGAGGCCGAGAAUUUCUGGAUGAAUGUGGUUAAAUCACUGGAACAAUAAAGCAAGACAGUUAAGAAAAGCACCUGGCACAAAGGGAGAAUGCUGCAAGAAAGAAAACACAAGCAUUUUAAAGGAACCAUAACAGUUACAAAGAAUCAGGAGACAAUGCAGGAUGGUAUAGGAGGCCAAAGGAAGAAUACAUUUCAAGCUAUUCUACUUCUACUGUUCAUCGGUUGAAAUGGUCAUCAAAAUGUAAUAAGUUGAUCGAAGACUCUCAGAUAUUACUUUAGAAUAUAUUCCUUUUAUGAAAGCUGCAUCUGUAUUUGACUUGGUAAGAUAAUAAAUUCAAGAAAAGCCCAACUGGGACCUCUAACAUACUCUUCUACAAUAUAUGAAUUUUAUACUAAAUAAGACUAUAAUAUUCUCCUCUACAAGUGGAAACCACAUCCCCAUAGGAAAUCGAGAUGCUAAACUAUUAAUAGUUUACCCAGGUUUUCUCUGCCUACCAUGGAACCUUAAACUUCAUCACAGCCUAAGCACUGUAAAACAUUAUAAUUUAUGUUCAUAUAAAUGAAACUCUCUAGACAUUCUUCAUCUUGUCUACUACUUAAUGUUUCUGAUGUUUUUAAGACAGAGAAGUUCUCUGCAUUCAACCUGAGAAAAGACAAUGUCAAAAUAAAUUUAUAUAUCAAAUAAAUACUGUCAGAAGCAUUGCUAUAAGUCUGGUAAUGUUUUAAAAUGUUGUGCCAGUAA
rnacentral:lncRNA from 10 species